rnacentral:sRNA from 1 species
UAAUACUAUGGUAUAAUAAAUCCAUCGAUAGAUAUGAGCAAAACAGGGCAGUAGCCUGAUUUGCGAAUGCCUGUUGUGAGUUCGAGAGUUCGAAGAACGGAGAAAUCACAUUUAUUA